rnacentral:rRNA from 1 species
UAUUGCCAGGAGUUACCCUGAACAAGCCCAGUCCCGUCUGAUCUCAGAAGCUAAGCAGGUUCAGGCCUGGUUAGUACUUGGAUGGGAGACCACAUAGGAAGACCAGGUGCUUAAGUAU